GACGAACGCUGGCGGCGUGCCUAAUACAUGCAAGUAGAACGCUGAAGGAAGGAGCUUGCUCUUUCUGGAUGAGUUGCGAACGGGUGAGUAACGCGUAGGUAACCUGCCUGGUAGCGGGGGAUAACUAUUGGAAACGAUAGCUAAUACCGCAUAAAAUUGAUUAUUGCAUGAUAGUCAAUUAAAAGGUGCAACUGCACCACUACCAGAUGGACCUGCGUUGUAUUAGCUAGUUGGUGGGGUAACGGCUCACCAAGGCGACGAUACAUAGCCGACCUGAGAGGGUGAUAGGCCACACUGGGACUGAGACACGGCCCAGACUCCUACGGGAGGCAGCAGUAGGGAAUCGUCGGCAAUGGACGGAAGUCUGACCGAGCAACGCCGCGUGAGUGAAGAAGGUUUUCGGAUCGUAAAGCUCUGUUGUAAGAGAAGAACGAGUGUGAGAGUGGAAAGUUCACACUGUGACGGUAUCUUACCAGAAAGGGACGGCUAACUACGUG
rnacentral:rRNA from 1 species